CUCAGAUUAGUUUGACGUUAUUUUAUAUACGCCGAUUGAUCUACGCAGCGCCGCAUAAAGUCGCAGACACUUCAAGAUACUUCUGGACAUCGUUAAUGAGAUUAAUUAGUGCUGCCCAAAUGCAGCACCGUCUGUCAACAGAGGGCGCCAAAGCGCAAAACAUCUCGUCUAAUAACACAGCACAAUCUGUGGAUUUUAACGACUGAAUACAAUAUGGAUUUCAACCAACCACCGAAACAUUAACGGGAACAAAAACAGAAGAGUGAGUUUUAAUUACUCACCUCUGCAUUGACAGAUCAGGUGUGCGUACCUGGAUCCCCAGGUUAAAUUCCAGAGGGAAAGGUCAAGGUAAAAAGGGAAACCUCAUCAGGAAGAGAGUCAAGCCCAACUAUGAGGGAUAAGAUGUAAUGGAAAUAGGAUGGAUGAAGUGGCAGGAAAAGGAACGAGAAAAAAGCAUACUACCUCAGUUUCACCAGGGUAAUCUGUUGGUAAG